rfam:Salmo salar isolate Sally breed double haploid chromosome ssa19, whole genome shotgun sequence.
ACAAAAAAAAAACGUAAGUCGCUCUGGAUAAGAGCAUCUGCUAAAUGACUAAAA